rnacentral:rRNA from 1 species
AGAGUUAAACAGUACGUGAAAUUGCUAAAAGGGAAACGAUUGAAAUCAGUGUUGGGCGCUGGAAAUCAGCCAGGCAGAAAUGGUUGGUGCACUUUCCAGCGGCCAGGUCAACAUUGGUUUUGGGCGAGGUAAAUCAGUGUGGGAAGGUGGCUCUCUUGGGAGUGUUAUAGCCUGCGCGAAUAUCUUGCUUGGGACCGAGGAUUGCAGUACAUGCCUUUUAAGGCUGGCCAACCAGGUGCUAUUUUUCAAAGGCUUAAAGGCAGCAUGCUGACUCUAUCCAUUUGGAAAAUAACAGCUGGCUAAAGCACAAAUGUACUCAGGAUGUUGACGAAAUGGUUUUAAACGACC